rnacentral:snoRNA from 1 species
CUGUGACCAGUUAAACUAAUCAGGUUCCCUUUCUCAAGGGGACCUGGUGUGCAAUGGGUACCAGCAGCAGCCCCCUUGGGAGCGCACGCGGCCUCUUGCUUGUACGGGUUCUCUAAUGAACCCCGAUGUUGGGU